rnacentral:misc_RNA from 1 species
AAGAAUCGCCCCGUUUUUUGAAAUGGGUUCUAUUCCCAAACCGUGUAUAUAUACCUUUGUUGCUUCGGCAGGCCGCCUUCUAGGCGUCGGCUCCGGCUGACUGCGCCUGCCAGAGGACCCAAACUCAUUUGUUUAGUGAUGUCUGAGUACCAUAUAAUAGUUA